GGAAGUGGAAAACACAGCAGGGCAACUGAUAGAACUGGUGGAGACUGAUAUUGUUUUGUUUUUACCAAUGCACCACACCUAAAAGGAAGCCACGUCUGUCAUACAGAGCUCACAUGGCAAAAAGCAUCAGAUUGGCAAAAAGCCGACGAUUCUCCACGAAAAACAGUUUUCACCUGGGAAAUAUGUCAUGAAGCAAGCUUACUUCUGGACAAGUUGCAUACAAAUUGAAGCUGAGCCCCAUGAAGAGAAUCGACAGAGAAUGAGACUUAAGAGUCUCACUCAAGCCACCAGAGGCCACGGGUAUAUUUCCAAUAUUUUUGGGCCAUAAAUCUUUCUCUCAAGUU